rnacentral:tRNA from 1 species
UUAAUAGAAACCAAAGAGAGGUAAAUCACUGUUAAUGAUUAAAUUGGCUAAUACCCUAUUAAA